AUUCCAUGAUGAGGGCACUUUCGUAAUAACUCUUUGUAUCUUUCCUAUACCUCAUACAAGGACUCAUCAUCCAUUGUUAGAAGGCAGUGAUCUUGUGCCUCAACUU
rfam:Gossypium arboreum cultivar AKA8401 contig_83736_1, whole genome shotgun sequence.